AUGGUUGUGUGGUUGCCUUUUUAAGGAGGAAAGUCCGGACUCAUCGGAGCACCAAAGCCGGAUAACAUCCGGCGGGGGAGACCCCAGGGAAAGUGCAACAGAAAAUAAACCGCCAAUGUUUUAUUUGGUAAGGGUGAAACGGUGGGGUAAGAGCCCACCACAUUUUUGGUAACAAAAAUGGUAAUGUAAACCCCUUUGGGAGCAAGUCCAAGAUAAGCUUUGUCUUCAGACAAGUGUUGCUCUGCACUAAGCAUGGUAGGACGCUAGAAGUAAUUGGUAACAAUUAUUCAAGAUUAAUAACCACAUCCUUAAUAAACUGAGGAACAGAAUCCGGCUUACAGACCAUCUAG
rnacentral:RNase_P_RNA from 1 species